rnacentral:rRNA from 1 species
GCGAUAAAUCGACCGCCUGGGGAGUACGGCGCAAGGUUAAAACUCAAAUGAAUUGACGGGGGCCCGCACAAGCGGUGGAGCAUGUGGUUUAAUUCGAUGCAACGCGAAGAACCUUACCUGGUCUUGACAUCCAUAGAAUUCUGCAGAGAUGUGGGAGUGCCUUCGGGAACUAUGAGACAGGUGCUGCAUGGCUGUCGUCAGCUCGUGUUGUGAAAUGUUGGGUUAAGUCCCGCAACGAGCGCAACCCUUAUUCUUUGUUGCCAGCGAUUUGGUCGGGAACUCAAAGGAGACUGCCGUUGAUAAAGCGGAGGAAGGUGGGGACGACGUCAAGUCAUCAUGGCCCUUACGACCAGGGCUACACACGUGCUACAAUGGCGUAUACAAAGGGAAGCGAAGGUGCGAGCUGGAGCGGAUCUCAUAAAGUACGUCUAAGUUCGGAUUGGAGUCUGCAACUCGACUCCAUGAAGUCGGAAUCGCUAGUAAUCGUAGAUCAGAAUGCUACGGUGAAUACGUUCCCGGGCCUUGUACACACCGCCCGUCACACCAUGGGAGUGGGUUGCACCAGAAGUAGAUAGCUUAACCGCGAGGGGGGCGUUUACCACGGUGUGAUUCAUGACUGGGGUGAAGUCGUAACAAGGUAACCAAGGGCGAAUUCCAG